CCGACCGACCGACCGUUGCAGUCUUCACCAGAAGGAGAUUGUGUGAAGAAGUGAUACAGCCUGGACGUAAGAGAUUGAAGCUCAAAAGGUGUUGAGAAGCAAGAGGGACAUCUCAUUGAACCCUGUGAACUGGUGCCAUUAAAGUGUGCUUCCCCAGCAUGGUGGCUCAAUGCAAAACUAAAGAACUGAUCAUCGACGUCAGGAACAAAGGUGGAAGACACAUCAAUGGAGCUUAUGUUGAGAGGGUGGAGAGUGUCAAGUUCCUAGGAGUGACAAUAACCGACAAUCUGUCCUGGACCUCCCACGUAGAUGUGACAGUCAAGAAGGUACAAUGACUCCUCUUCUUCCUCGGGUGGCUCAGGAAACUCGGCAUGUCCAUAAGGACCCUCACCAACUUCUGCAGUUGCGCCAUUGAAAGCAUACUGUCCAGUUGGAUAACGGCCUGGUAUGGCAACUGCUCUGCCCAGGACCAUAAGAAACUACAGAAGGUGGUGAACACAGCCCAGACCAUCACGGAAGCCAACUUUCCAUCCAUGGACUCGGUUUAAACUUCUCACUGCCUUGCGAAAGGCAGCCAACAUCAUAAAGACGCUUUGCACGCCGGUAAUACUCUCUUCCAACCUCUUCUGUCAGGCAGAAGAUACAAAAGCUUAAACACAUGUACCAACAAGUUCAAGAACAGCUUCUUCCCUGUUGUUAUUAGACUUCUAAAUGGACCUCUGUAAUUUUAAAUCUAAUGUUGAUCUUGCUUUGUGUAGCUCCUGUACAGUCGUAACCUUGUAUGCCUCGCUCUGUCUAAGCCCCUUCUGAUCUGUAUGUCCUUGUUUACUAUGAUCUGCCUGUACUGCUCCAAAACAAAGCUUUUCACUGUAUGUAGAUAACAACAAUAAAUCAAAUCAAAAGUAGCCAAUAUUAUCAAAGACCCCUCCCACCCUGGUUUUACUCACUUCCACCCUCUUCCGUUGGGCAGAAGAUAUAAAAGUUCGAAGAUGUGUACUAAGAGAUUCAAGAAAGCUUCUUCCCUGCUGUUAUCAGACUUAUGAAUGGAUCUCUCAUAUAUUAGAGUUGAUCUUUCUCUGCACCUUCUCUGUAGCUGCAACACUGUAUUCUGCAUGCUGCUCUAUGAUCCUGAUGUACUGAUGUAAGCUAUAAUUUGUCUGGUUAGCGUGCAAAACAAUACUUUUCACUGUAUCUUGGUGCAUGUGGCAACAAUAAAUCAAAUCAAAUCAAACUCA